GAUGUCCUAACGGGACAGUGGAUGGGCCCGGAUCCAGUGGUCAGCUGGAACCGAGGCGCGGUUUGUGUGUCCCCACAGGAAAAGGAACCACUGUGGGUACCGGAGCGAUUGAUAAGAAAGACUCCAAGCCCCACAAAGGAAGAAAAAGGAGAAGGGGACCAUAAUGCUAAGGACCAACUUGACAACGCAGAAGGAGAACAAUGACACCCUAGCCAAGGCACCGAACCACCUACUGCUGGGUGUGGACAGGACUAUAGAUAUAAGGACAGAGCAGGAGGUAGAGAGGAAGAGAAGACACGCAGACCAUAGAGAGUGGAGGACUACGCGGGGUUACUCAACAGAGAGAGCCCCACUGGAGAGUCCGAUCAGGGAGGAACGUUCCGGGGACGACCUGUGUGGAGAGUCAAUAAACGCGACCUCUGUCUCUGCA